CACUCCCAUAACAUCGGACGCUGCUAGGCCCAGAUCAGUAGACCUAGUUCUUUCAUUCGAUACUACUGCAGAACCAAGCAGGCCUAGUUCAGUGAGGCCACGACAUACAAGCCAGGCUGAUAAUAUUCCGGAACGCCCGCAGGGUGAUGCAGAUGUCCACGGUGCAAGCGGAGGUGGGCUCCAGGAGAGCGAGGCCCUGCCGUGCACUUCAGGUAGCCGCAGGUCUAACCACAAACGUAGCAGGGACGCCCCUAGCCAGGAGAUAAUCGAG